GACGGAGGAUGCAAGCGUUAUCCGGAAUGAUUGGGCGUAAAGCGUCCGCAGGUGGCAGUUCAAGUCUGCUGUCAAAGACCGGGGCUUAACUUCGGAAAGGCAGUGGAAACUGAACAGCUAGAGUAUGGUAGGGGCAGAGGGAAUUCCUGGUGUAGCGGUGAAAUGCGUAGAGAUCAGGAAGAACAUCGGUGGCGAAGGCGACCACCUGGACUAAUACUGACACUGAGGUGCGAAAGCGUGGGGAGCAAACAGG
rnacentral:rRNA from 1 species